rnacentral:lncRNA from 1 species
AAACAUCAAACACCCCCUUGUGGUUUCACACUUUCUCAUUUUAAUACCAUGUGCUUUAAAGUGUAUCAAGUUAGCCCCUGUGGUUUCGCACUUUCUUACUUUAGUACUCUGUGGUUUAACGUGUGUCAAGUUAGUACCCUGUGGUUCUUUUUUUUUAUUAUUAUUCAUUUCACUAUUUUUUUCGUUAAAUCAAUGACAAAGUUAAAAUUAAAAGAUACUAAAAUGAAUACUCGAUAAACUUAGGUAGGAUAUAUGAAGUUUUUUUGUAUAUGAUUUAACGAAAUAUUAACAGAGGAAAAACAAAAUCAAUGACAAAGUUAAAACUAAAGGGUACUAAAGUAAAUAUUCGAUAAACCUAGAUAGGAUAUCUGAAGUUUUUUGUAUAUAAUUUAACGAAAUAUUAACAGAGGAGCCAACAAAAAGAGAAAAAUGAAACCACAGGGUACUAAAUUGAGGCACUUUAAACCACAGGGUACUAAAAUGAGAAAGUGCGAAACCACAUAGUAGUAUAGUACUAAAUUGAUACACUUUACACCAUAGGGUACUAAAGUAAGAAAGUGCGAAACCACAUAGACGGUAUUUGAAGUUUUCCCUAAUAAUUAAAAGUCAUGCCCUUCUUAAAUAUGAUAUGGUGAUGCAGUUAUGUUGGGAAAAAUACGCACCACUAAAUUUGAUUGUAAUUAAAAUCUAACUAAUUUAGUAAUAAAAGAUAAAUUAAACUUACAAAUAAGCGUAAAAAUUUAAAUAAAAAAUUCGAGCGAUUCGGGACUUCCAUAUUACUAUCCUUAGGCAUAUUUUCGUCCAUCGUGCGGAUUAAUCAAGAACACCACCUCACGGCACGAUCGGAAUUUUCCCUUCUGCGAGCACGAUGAACAAUCAUGCCGGAGGUUGAUGGAGAUUCUCUCAACACCCGGUAAAUAUAUGAAAAGAAAUGUGAAAAGUAAUAAAAAAUGAAAAGAAGAUGAUUAUAUAUAUU